rnacentral:rRNA from 1 species
AGUGAACGCUGGCGGUAGGCCUAACACAUGCCAGUCGAACGGCAGCACAGUAAGAGCUUGCUCUUACGGGUGGCGAGUGGCGGACGGGAGAGGAAUACAUCCGAAUCUACUUUUUCGUGGGGGUUAACGUAGGGAAACUUACGCUAAUACCGCAUACGACCUACGGGUGAAAGCAGUGGAACUUCUGACCUUGCGCGGUUGGAUGAGCCGAUGUGGGAGUAGCUAGUUGGGGGGGUAAAGACCCAGCAAGGCGACGAUCGGUAGCUGGAGUGAGAGGCUGGUAACCGGCCUUGGAACUGAGACACGGUCAAGAGUCCUACGGGAGGGAGCAGUGGCGAAUAUUGGACAAUGGUGGCAAGUCUGGUCCAGCCAUACCGCGUGUGAUACGAAGGCCUUCGGGUUGUAAAGCCCUUUUUUGGGGAAAGAAAAGCAGCAGGUUAAUACCCCGCUGUUCUGACGGUAACCAAAGAAUAAGCACCGGCUAACUUCGUG